rnacentral:lncRNA from 1 species
AUGAAGCAGGCGUACCUGAAGACUCUGAAGCAGCACUUCCUGAGGAGCUCCCCACUGCAGACACGGCGGAAAAGACUGAAAAUGUGAAGACAGCUAAGGAUGCAGCCAUCAAACCAGCCAGGCUCUGCAGAGGCAGGGCACCAAAUCCACUGGUACCUUUGGGUCUGAAGCGCGGCAAAAAGCCUCUGCCUUCUGCAAAGGCCAAAGGCACAGAGGAAGAUAACCGGGAGGAGAUGGGGAGGGAAGGAGCUGAUCAGGAGCAGGUAUUUCUCCUUUUUUUCCAGUCUACUUAACCUCCUUAUCUGUUUGGACUUUUCCAGUCUGACAUUUUGUGAUAUAUCAGGGAAAAAGUGAAAAUGAAGCCCAGCUGAGCCAAGAAAGGAAGAGGAAGGAUGAUGGUGAUGUUUCUUCUGAGGGUGAGGAGGAUGCUGCAGCUAAACCUCAGAGGCCCACACGAUAUGGCCGAGUGCCCAAACAAGUCCAGCCCUUGAUGUACGCCGCCAAAGACGAUUUGCACUCGCCUGCAUCCUCUGACACGUCCAAAGUUCCCGCCAAGAGGGCAAAGUCGGUCGAACCUCCACCAGUGCAGAAGUCCAAAAAGCCCAAACUGGUCACCCUGAGGUCGUCCAGGUCAGAGUUUAGUGACGAGGAGAACGAAAACGAGUGGGAGGAGGAGGAGCACCACCUCACCCGGAGCUCCAGUCGAGACGGCGACACUCACGGCUUUGUUCAGAGCAGCCUGCACGCCUCCAACACGGAGAUUUCAGAGGUGGAUGACACCAUGGUGGAGCUUGAUAUCUUGGACAGUAUGCCCGAUGUGCUGGGCCUUUCCCAAGAUGCCCUGUGUCCUGACUCAACCUGUCAGCAGGCAGAUCAUGACACAGGCACUUCUGAGCCCAGUGAGCACCAGCUGGACCUGCUUGUUGAUGUUAUAGACUUCAUUUCCUCGGAACAAACUGAAGUGUCUCAGGAUGAGAGCUACACUGAAGCAGCUCAAACCCUUUUGACCAUUGGUAACCGAGCUCAAAUUUCUCCGUCUGCACAG